CACAUUGCGAAAAUGACUCGAAAUCACAUUUCGGACAUUUGUAGUUUUGGGGUUCGACAUGUUGUGAUGUGUGACCUUGAAUGAUGUGACAUCGCAGUUGUGACAAUAGUUGGGUUUCAAAUGUUUCGCAUUUGUGACACUUGUAAGGUUCAAGGCCACUUGAACAAUUAAAAUCGCUGCAUUCUUGAUUCAUUUGGUAAAAUCUAAAAAAAGUUUUUUUGGUGGCUGCUUUGUUGGUGUGCAUCAUCAACGCUUGCCAUGGAGGAAUUGGUGACUCUAUGAAAGAAAUGGUCGACCAAAUCAAGGAAAUGUUAGGUCAAGGAGGGCCGGGAGGGGGUUCAAGUGGACAAGGG